GUUCGUUUCUCCAAACACCUUAGGUACAUUGAUGUAUAACAACAUCGUAAUAACGGAAGUCAUUUAUAGGAAUCACAUAUUCACAUUGAGAGAAAACCAAAUUCGACAGAAGUCUCCUUUUACUCCAUACAUACCAAUUUACACAAUCAAAAUCACAAACACAAAUCUAGUACCAGUUAUUUACUACUACUGAUCUUACACCAUCCACUCUACUCUAGCUAGAAAAUAAAGAUGCAAGAAAAAGCAAAACCACAUCCAAUAUAUUAUGUCGCGAAAUUAUAUCACAUCCGUAAAAUAAUCUGAAGAAUAAAAUAAUCUGAAGGAAUAAGAGAGCAACAAUUAUUGAUAUAUUGGACACCUAUUUCUCAGCCGCCAAAGGUACAAGGAAGAGGAAACAAAGACAGGUAAAUCCAACACACAGCUUAUAAUAGAGUUCGAUUAAAUAGUCAAAAUACACUUCAAAUUGUAAAUUUUUUAACGUACCAAAAACGAUUUCGAACAAAAUGUUGAAGUAUCAAGUUUGAAAUUCAAUACCUGUAUCAGCGAGCAAACUGAAAGCAGCAUCUUUGUCAUGAAAAUUUAUAAACUUCACAAAGAAGAAUAUACCAAUUUAAGUUAGAAUUUUCCUUACAAAAUUACAAAUAAAAGGUAUAAACUUCAAAAAUCUUCUCCACUUUUUGCAUAAUAGAAGUUUUCUCAGUUAAGUAAUUUUCAGAGAAAUACGUUAACACAGCACAUUUCUUAUUGGUUAACUUUUAACAGAACGCUGUAAAGAAACAUACUAUCCUUUUUCUCGUCUAGUAAUCCUUUUCUUUAUCCACGCACCGAUUGAGAAGGUAGUUGCUAUUGUGAAAACAAUUCUAACACCAAAUAAGCAAAUGCGACAAAUUCUAAUUAAAUUGGUGUCCGUUUUCAAUUCAAGAUAUAUGUCCUUAUAUGUAGCAUAAUGUAGAGAAUAGCAUGACAAAAGAAAUUCAAAUGAUUCAACAGAGCAUUGCAACAUUCUUUAAAUGUCGGCCGCAACUGCUCCUUCAGCCUUAGCUUCAACCUCUGUUUCUUCGGGUUCUUCUUGGGAUUCAGCUUCAGCUCUAACAACAAAAGAACGACUUUCCCACUUUGAACAGCACAACCCAGAAGUUGAAAACAAAACAGGGAUACAUUCAACUGAGAAGGUCAUUGGAAAAUGCAGGUAGAAACUGCAAGUUUCUGUGGAAUAUACCUUGUGGGGGGAUGCCUGUAAAUACAAUUAUUAGAUAGUUGUUGGUAUAUAUGUUGUAAAAGAGCAGUCUUGGUUCGAUGAGAAGAAGAAACUUAGGAAGCAAAUUGGUCUUAUGAAUGAAUUGAGAGUUGUUGAGAAGCACAAGGACAACCUUAUAAUUGAAUUGAAUAGCAAGUUGGAGCAGAGUAAAGUAGUUGUUCAGUCAAAAGAUAACAAGGGAAAAUGCGUCAAGAUCUUGAAGAAAGGCUGAAAAAUGCGUCAAAAUCAUGUAAUUA
rnacentral:lncRNA from 1 species